rnacentral:rRNA from 1 species
UACGAAGGAGGCUAGCGUUGCUCGGAAUCACUGGGCGUAAAGCGCACGUAGGCGGAUUUUUAAGUCAGGGGUGAAAUCCUGGAGCUCAACUCCAGAACUGCCUUUGAUACUGGGAAUCUCGAGUCCGGAAGAGGUGAGUGGAACUGCGAGUGUAGAGGUGAAAUUCGUAGAUAUUCGCAAGAACACCAGUGGCGAAGGCGGCUCACUGGUCCGGUACUGACGCUGAGGUGCGAAAGCGUGGGGAGCAAACAGG